UACGUAGGGUGCGAGCGUUAAUCGGAAUUACUGGGCGUAAAGCGUGCGCAGGCGGUUUUGUAAGCCAGAUGUGAAAGCCCCGGGCUCAACCUGGGAAUGGCAUUUGGGACUGCAAGGCUUGAGUGCGGCAGAGGAGACUGGAAUUCCUAGUGUAGCAGUGAAAUGCGUAGAUAUCAGGAGGAAUACCGAUGGCGAAGGCAGGUCUCUGGGCUGACACUGACGCUCAUGCACGAAAGCGUGGGGAGCAAACAGG
rnacentral:rRNA from 1 species